rnacentral:rRNA from 1 species
GACGACGCUGGCGGCGUGCUUAACACAUGCAAGUCGAACGGUGAAGGGGCCUGCUUUUGUGGGUCCUGGAUGAGUGGCGAACGGGUGAGUAACACGUGAGUAACCUCGCCCCCUUCUUCUGGAUAACCGCAUGAAAGUGUGGCUAAUACGGGAUAUUCUGGGUCUGUCGCAUGGUGGGCCUGGGAAAGAUUGCGCCUUUUUUGGUGUUUUUGGUGGGGGAUGGGCUCGCGGCCUAUCAGCUUGUUGGUGGGGUGAUGGCCUACCAAGGCGGUGACGGGUAGCCGGCCUGAGAGGGUGGACGGUCACACUGGGACUGAGACACGGCCCAGACUCCUACGGGAGGCAGCAGUGGGGAAUAUUGCACAAUGGGCGCAAGCCUGAUGCAGCGACGCCGCGUGAGGGAUGGAGGCCUUCGGGUUGUGAACCUCUUUCGCCAGUGAAGCAGGCCUGCCUCGUUUGUGGGUGGGUUGACGGUAGCUGGAUAAGAAGCGCCGGCUAACUAC